rnacentral:rRNA from 1 species
GGCCUACCAUGGUGGUAACGGGUAACGGGGUGUUAGGGCACGACACCGGAGAGGGAGCUGAGAAACGGCUACCACAUCCAAGGAUGGCAGCAGGCGCGCAAAUUACCCAAUCCCGACACGGGGAGGUAGUGACAAUAAAUAACAAUACGGGGUUCUUUCGGAUUUCGUAAUUGGAAUGAGUACAAUUUAAAUCUCUUAACGAGGAACAAUUGGAGGGCAAGUCUGGUGCCAGCAGCCGCGGUAAUUCCAGCUCCAAUAGCGUAUAUUAAAGUUGCUGCAGUUAAAAAGUUCGUAGUUGAAUUUCGGGACUAAUAUGUCGGUCGUGCCUCGGUACGUACUGGCUUAUUGGUUUCUCCUUUCUGAAGAACCAUGAUGUCAUUUAUUUGGUGUCGUGGGGAAUCAGGACUGUUACUUUGAAAAAAUUAGAGUGUUUAAAGCAGGCUCACGCUUGAAUACAUUAGCAUGGAAUAAUGAAAUAGGACGUUUGAUUCUAUUUUGUUGGUUUCUAGGAUCGACGUAAUGAUUAAUAGGGAUAGUUGGGGGCAUUAGUAUUCAAUUGUCAGAGGUGAAAUUCUUGGAUUUAUUGAAGACUAACUACUGCGAAAGCAUUUGCCAAGGAUGUUUUCAUUAAUCAAGAACGAAAGUUAGGGGAUCGAAGACGAUCAGAUACCGUCGUAGUCUUAACCAUAAACUAUGCCGACUAGGGAUCGGAUGAUGUUAAUUUUUUAAUGACUCAUUCGGCGCCUUACGGGAAACCAAAGUGUUUGGGUUC